UACGGAGGGAGCUAGCGUUGUUCGGAAUUACUGGGCGUAAAGCGUACGUAGGCGGUUAUUCAAGUCAGAGGUGAAAGCCCGGGGCUCAACCCCGGAACGGCCUUUGAAACUAGGUAGCUAGAAUCUUGGAGAGGUCAGUGGAAUUCCGAGUGUAGAGGUGAAAUUCGUAGAUAUUCGGAAGAACACCAGUGGCGAAGGCGACUUACUGGACACAUAUUGACGCUGAGGUGCGAAAGCGUGGGGAGCAAACAGG
rnacentral:rRNA from 1 species